UACGAAGGGGGCUAGCGUUGUUCGGAAUCACUGGGCGUAAAGCGCACGCAGGCGGAUUGAUAAGUCGGGGGUGAAAUCCCGGGGCUCAACCUCGGAAUUGCCUUCGAUACUGUCUGUCUUGAGUCCGGGAGAGGUGAGUGGAAUUCCUAGUGUAGAGGUGAAAUUCGUAGAUAUUAGGAAGAACACCAGUGGCGAAGGCGGCUCACUGGCCCGGUACUGACGCUCAUGUGCGAAAGCGUGGGUAGCAAACAGG
rnacentral:rRNA from 1 species